GACGAACGCUGGCGGCGUGCUUAACACAUGCAAGUCGAACGGAAAGGCCCUGCUGUUGUUGGUUGCUCGAGUGGCGAACGGGUGAGUAACACGUGAGUAACCUGCCCUUGACUUUUGGAUAACGUCAGGAAACUGGGGCUAAUACCGGAUAGGAUCUCCUGCUGCAUGGUGGGGGUUGGAAAGUGUCGGCGGUUGGGGAUGGACGCGCGGCUUAUCAGCUUGUUGGUGGGGUAGUGGCUUACCAAGGCUUUGACGGGUAGCCGGCCUGGGAGGGUGACCGGCCACAUUGGGACUGAGGUCAGGCCAGACCUCCUCCGGGAGGAAGAAGUGGGGAAUUUUGACAAAGGGGGGGAAGCCUGAUGAAGAAACGCCGGGUGCGGGAUGACGGCCUUCGGGUUGUAACCCGCUUUCGCAUGUGACGAAGCGUGAGUGACGGUAAUGGGUAAAGAAGCACCGGCUAACUACGUG
rnacentral:rRNA from 1 species